UGUAAGGGGUAGUCUCGUCAAUGUGCGCGUGACGUGGUUGUGCGCGUGCAGAUCGCUGACUGGAGUCUGUCAGAUCGGUUCCAGAUUACUUUCGGUUUCGUUUCCUCUGCCGCUGUUUCAAGGAGUGGUAAAUGUGCGUGCCUGAACACUAAACGACCUCUGUUCAUUUAAGAACUGUAUAAUGCUGGAUGAUAUAAAGUGACACAUCUUGAAGAUAUAAACCACCGAACAACCAUCUGUCUCCUGUCACACUUCUUGCUGGAGUUCAGCAGUGGACUAGCAUUCUAUAGAGAACAGACUUCUUUUACAGGUGAUGGAGAUUCAUCAGUCUACAGUGAUUCUGCUGCUGCUCUUGUGUGUGUCGUCCUACACUCAUGCUCAAUCAUGGGCUCGUUAUCAAAACUUCCUCAAUCACCAUCGGGGUCCUUUUGUGAAUGUGGAGAUGUGUACCAGUGAAAUCAGACACAGGAAAAUAACGGACUCUGCUGGUGAAUGCAAACGUGUCAACAGCUUCAUACGAGCCCCAGAUGAACACAUUACAGCAGUCUGUACCGGAGGAACUCGACUGUACUAUAACCUGUUUAGAAGCGGCACGCCAUUUGAUGUGGUCACGUGUAGAUUAAAAAGUGGGCAGACACACCCAAACUGUGAAUAUUAUAGAGGGAGGUUGUCCAUUCAAUACAUUGUGUUAGCGUGUGAACACGGCUUGCCUGUACAUUAUGAAAGCUAAAAGUAACGUACAGAGGACAGGCUGAAUAGAGCCUCACAGACCUUCACAACAGUUCGCUAAUCUUUUGAGCACUUCUCCUUUUCUGUCUUCCUUUGUUUUUCAAGUGCAAAAAAAAAAUAAGUGAGUGAAUCGUGAAGCCUAAAUAAGUAAAUAUAAUGUAUAAGGUUAAUGAGCAGUCAUUCUUGACAUGUGUUGUAAACAUGAGCAACACUGUUUGAGAGUAAAGUCUAUAAUGAAGCACAGCUGUGAACAUGAACACGUGUUUAAACAUCGAUUGCCUGUUGUGUUUUGAAAAGCUACCUUACAAUCUCUAAUUAUAUUCUGAAGAACAGCAUACAAGUUCAUCUUCAAUGAAAGAAAAUGUACCCGUCUUCAUGAGACUCUGAUAAGAAUGAGUCUCUCAUCACUCACCUAAUUGAACAUAAUGUUAAAAAUAACUUUAAUUUCUUAUAUAAGUAUAUUCUGCACUUCUUCAUGCAUGUCUCUGUGUGUAAUUGUAAUGACAUUUAAAGCCUUCUGUUAACACUUUUAAGCAUGUUUAAAAACUGUUUAAUGGGAGUAAUGAAUGAAAACAGACGAGGGAAGAAAGAUGCAGAUGUUUUUUUCCACAUGCCUGUAAUCCUCAUUAAACCAUCUCUACUACCAUUAAA